rnacentral:tRNA from 1 species
GGCCGGAUAGCAAAGUGGUAAUGCACGGGACUGCAAAUCCCGCAACGCCGGUUCGAUUCCGGCUCCAGCCC